rnacentral:rRNA from 1 species
UCGCGAAACCUUCACACUGGGGGAAACCCUGAUGAGGGAAUUCCUAGUGCCUGCAUUUUUUGUAGGCUUUUAUCUAGUGUAGAUAGCUAGAAGAAUAAGGGCCGGGUAAGACGGGUGCCAGCCGCCGCGGUAAUACCCGCGGCCCAAGUGGUGGUCGAUAUUAUUGAGUCUAAAACGUCCGUAGCCGGUUCAGUAAAUCUUUGGGUAAAUCGGCCAGCUUAACUGACCGAAUUCCGAAGAGACUGCUGAACUUGGGACCGGGAGAGGCCAGAGGUACUUCUGGGGUAGGGGUAAAAUCCUGUAAUCCUAGAAGGACCACCGGUGGCGAAGGCGUCUGGCUAGAACGGAUCCGACGGUGAGGGACGAAGCCCUGGGGCGCAAACGGGAUUAGAUACCCCGGUAGUCCAGGGUGUAAACGCUGCAGGCUUGGUGUUGGGGGUCCUUCGGGGGCGCCCAGUGCCGGAGAGAAGUUGUUAAGCCUGCUACUUGGGGAGUACGUCCGCAAGGAUGAAACU